CCAGAGUUUGCACUACCAAAUAGCUCAAAGCUAUCGUCGCUAGUCUGUAGAGUAAUUGCAGAUUGAAGAAUUAACACAGAUUGUUGAAUAAGUUACAAUGGCCCGUCGCUAGUCUGUAGAGUAAUUGUAGAUUGAAGAGUUAACACAGAUUGUUGAAUAAGUUACAAUGGCCCAUUGAUCGGCCAAUAUUCUUGUAAGAUGAAGUUGCAAUGCAAUGGAGCACACAUUGUCAGCGACCCAAUUACGGCCACAGCAGCCCAUGGGCCGGGCCUGGUUGAGUGCCACAUGAAGGGAGGCCUGACUACAAGUAUCCACGUAGGAAGCAGCGAAGAGGCAUCCGGGCUUGGAUCAGGCAAAGGCAACGGCGGCUCUCUCCUUACCCUUAUCUUCUCCUACCUGCUGUUCUUCCUCCUCCCUCCUUCCCCAAAUCCAUGUAUCUGAACUCGAAUCAUCUGUAAUGGAGUAAUUCGCGUGCGGAACCUAACAUCGUGGCAUCAGAGCCUUCUCACCACCCUUCCAAAAUUCGUUCAAAAUUUUGCCCAAUUUUUUUUCCCUCGCACCAUUCUCUCCACCACCAUGCAUCCCGAGUUGAAAGCUUGCCUUGACGAGUUCAAGGCGAAGGCUCAGGCACGCUUCGAGGCCAGUGCCAGGCUGUUCGCGCAGCACGACGAGCUGCUCUCCAAGCUCCUCACGGGAGCUUCGACCCCGCAGCCGGCGCGCUCUGCGGUCAUGGCCUCCAAUGGCGACCUCACUGUCAACGCCACUGUCGUGGCGGUCGUCCCCGACACCUCUUCCUUUGCCACCAAGGCCCAAGAGGUCAUCGCGCCCCCCUAUGGCGCGUUCCUGGACUCCAUCGAUCUGAUGCCCAUGACCUGUUCGAUGGCUGGCUCGACCCAAGUCGCCUGUGCUGCGAACGCCAACGAGGUCCACAACGUCACCACAUCCGUCCGCCUCGAGCCUUUGGUCGCCCACAUCCACCAGGAGGUCGACGCCGAGAUCGUCACCCCGGUGGCAACCACCACCGAUGUCUUCUCCGCCACUACCCAAGCCCAAGAGCCCCCCACGUCCGCCAAUGAUUCAUCCCCAGUUUCCAUUGAGAUGAUGGCCGUCACCUGCUCGACGGAGUGCUUGACCCAAGAAGUAGAGCAACUCAUGCCGGAGUCUUCUAUCAGCACCAACACCGCUACUUCCGAGGUUCUGUCCUCUGCGCCCGUCACCUCCGACAUCAUCCCAAGUGUUGCCACGGCAGCCAAUCCAGUGUCGACGAAGUGCUUGGCAGAAACCCAUGUCUACGCAAAUGACUCUGUGCAGCUUCUGAUCGCCGCCAUCGACAGUGCCGACGAGACACAUGCCACUGCCACCACUGAGAGCUUUGAACAUCAACCAUGGCCACCGCCUGUAGAAGUGCAGACCAGUCACAUGGGACAACUUUUCAGGCCUAGCCCGUGGCCGUCGUUCAGACCUCUAUCAGUCACAAGCUACCCGGAAGAGACAUGUUCAAGUAUCCACAGUCAAUCACAUAGAGGUUCCUGCUUUAGUCCUUGGUUAGUUUGGUUGAUGUUCAGAGAUGUUCACCUGGAGAAGCAUGGUAAUGGAACUGAUACAAUCAUGCCGUGCACCAGUGGAAUUCAACAUAAUGUGCCUGAACGUUUAAGUGAAAUUGCAAGGAGAUGUUCGGUUGAUGUUCAGAUAUGUUCGCCGGGAGAUGGUCUAGCAAUCGCAAGGGAGUCCGAUGUUCCUAUGAAAAUCAGAAAAAUGGAUAAAGGCUCCGUGGGUUCAAGUGUGGCUGUAGAUGUAAUCUCUCUUACAAGAUGUGCAACAUGCAAAUAUCAAUUUUCAAGAGAUUCAAGCAUGACUGAUUUUCCGGCUGGAUCAGAAGUUGAAAACGAAGAUGAAUAUUAUGAAUGGAAUACAACUCCUGGAUUGGUUGGGUGUGAAGCUAGCUUAAACCUCCAGAGUAUAGACGAAUGCUCAGCAGACACUGACAGCGAAACUGAUAAACAUCUGACAGUUGCGAGUUUCUUGGUGAUUUGAACCCCUCAUCUCUUCAGAAGUACUCCCUACUUAUGUCUGAACUAGAAUCCCAAUUUGCAUAUUCCAGAAAGGUGGACAACUUAUUCAAAAAUGGUGUUCUGCUGCUAGUUGAUAACUCUUGCUUGGUAAAUUCAGUAUGCUUUGUACCUGGUCAUCAGAAUGAUCUUGCUGUUACUAAUGUCGAUGGCAUGCUCAAGUCGACUGCUGAAGAUAACUGCAGUACACGCAUUUUAAUACAGGGAAAUGCAUUGCGUUUUCCCUGUGAGGCUAGACCUGAACAGCAUGAGGACAUAUGCAACAGGGAGAGUGCCGCUGGAGUUUCUACAAAUUUGCAAGUGCAAGAGCAUGCUGCCAUAUGCAACUUUCCUACAUCCGACCAUCAGUCAAGGAUGAAAGAAAACUGCAAGAAAUGCUACCUUAUACUCCAUUGCAGAAUUUUCUGGUCUCUUCAGUGGAGCAGUAAACCAUGGUCUUCUGGACAUCUUGAAUCUUAUCUGAAUUCUUACUCAAUCAGCGUCACUCUGAAUUGCAACUAUGGGCAUUUGUAUGUGCAGCUUGAGAAGUUACGGGCCACUGGAAUUGAGGGAGAGAUAUUUGGUCAAAACUGUACUUCCUGCUGCGUCUGGGAUCUUUGAGCCGAGCCAAGGAAUUCAAAGGAUAGUUCUGCACAGUUUCACAAAGUCCAGUCUAGGUGCAACCUCAAAUGGCCCAUUCCAGCAGCUCCAUUCACAAAUGUGCAUCAACUACUUGGAUAUAUGAGUUCGCUUUGCUUUGGUUUUAUUCAAGGAGUUUCCUGUGAUUAUGGUUCUUCUACUUCUGCUUGUACUCUCUACAUUGGUGAUCAAUCCCCGGUGGCCUUCAUUCCAUCCGCAAGAACUGCUCCUUAUGUUGUGUGGUCUACAAGAUAUAUGCAGAUCGUCUUUGAAGGAUCACAUGAGGGUCUAAUUCUUCAUACAGAAUUCAGAAGCUAUAUGCGAACUAAUUCAGAGUCUCUGCACCUCAUUGGAGUUCUUGGGGAAUUGACUCAAUCUUGGAGCUUUACUGAUCAUGUCAGUACCUUGUCAAGCUAUUGGUGGUGUUUCUCUUGGGGACCAGAUUGGGAUCCAGGAGGACCGCUCUUGGAUGUUUCAUCCCCAAUUUCAACUAGUAUGCACACUCCAUCUCCAGAAGAAAGCAUGGAAUGCACGGGCUCAAAAUGGUUACCACCAAAGGGGACUGCCACUGGUAUGGAACAAGAUGAAAAUAAUAUUGGUAUCCACCUCAACCUCGUUCAAGUACACCUUGACAAUGGCUACUUCCGCGACAAAUACCACGAAAAAUCUGACAUGAUCAAGGAUCUUCAAGCACCCUGGGACCCUGGUGAGCCCUGCGUGAAAGCGGCUUGGGGUCAAGCCGAAUCUCAAGGGGUAGGGGAUGUCAGCGACCCAAUUACGGCCACAGCAGCCCAUGGGCCGGGCCUGGUUGAGUGCCACAUGAAGGGAGGCCUGACUACAAGUAUCCACGUAGGAAGCAGCGAAGAGGCAUCUGGGCUUGAAUCAGGCAAAGGCAACGGCGGCUCUCUCCUUACCCUUAUCUUCUCCUACCUGAUGUUCUUCCUCCUCCCUCCUUCCCCAAAUCCAUGUAUCUGAACUCGAAUCAUCUGUAAUGGAGUAAUUCGCGUGCGGAACCUAACACACAUUCUUUUGUAUCGUUGCACGUCAUUCAGGGAUACUUCUUCGAAGGAUUGUGGCCAAUAUUCUUGUAAGAUGAAGUUGCAACGCAAUGGAGCACACAUUCUUGUGGAUCGUUGCACGUCAUUCAGGGAUACUUCUUCGAAGGAUUGUUUACUGGAACUCAUGGUGGUGUCGUUUGCUUCCUCUUUGCUUUAGCUGUAUAUAAAUAAUUAGAUAUUGAUCUAUAUACAUGGAUGUAUUUUGUAUGUAAGCUGACUAUUCAUGUGUGAGUUUACAAAACUGUGUGCCAAAUUGGAAGAAAGUUAUCUCUUUCAUUCAAGUCAGUUCGGGCAGAGUAUAAACCUUGUAGCAUUUUUGCUUAGCAAUGCUAUCCACAAAGAAACAGAAUGAAAAGACGACUAAUAUCCCAGAAUCAAGAAGAACGUGCAUGUGCUCCGUUGGGGGUUGCUGAACCUUAUGCCAACCAGG
rnacentral:lncRNA from 1 species